rnacentral:rRNA from 1 species
GACGAACGCUGGCGGCGUGCUUAACACAUGCAAGUCGAGCGGACAGGCCCUGCUUUUGGGGGGUGCUCGAGUGGCGACCGGGUGAGUAACACGUGCGUAACCUGCCUUUGACUUUGGGAUAACUUCUGGAAACUGGUGCUCAUACCUGGUAGGAGCUCCUGCUGCAUGGUGGGGGUUGGAAUGUUUCGGCGGUUGGGGAUGGACUCGCGGCUUAUCAGCUUGUUGGUGGGGUAGUGGCUUACCAGGGCUUUGGCGGGUAGCCGGCCUGGGAGGGUGACCGGCCAAAUUGGGAUGGAGAUACGGCACGGACUACAACGGGAGGGAGCAGAGGGGAAGAGAGUACAAUGGGCGGAGGCCUGAUGCAGCAACGCCGCGUGGGGGAUGACGGGAAUCGCGUUGUAAUCCAAUGUCGCCUGUGACGAAGCGUGAGUGACGGUAAUGGGUAAAGAAGCACCGGCUAACUACGUG